AGUGAACGCUGGCGGUAGGCCUAACACAUGCAAGUCGAACGGCAGCACAGUAAGAGCUUGCUCUUACGGGUGGCGAGUGGCGGACGGGUGAGGAAUACAUCGGAAUCUACUUUUUCGUGGGGGAUAACGUAGGGAAACUUACGCUAAUACCGCAUACGACCUACGGGUGAAAGCAGGGGAUCUUCGGACCUUGCGCGAUUGAAUGAGCCGAUGUCGGAUUAGCUAGUUGGCGGGGUAAAGGCCCACCAAGGCGACGAUCCGUAGCUGGUCUGAGAGGAUGAUCAGCCACACUGGAACUGAGACACGGUCCAGACUCCUACGGGAGGCAGCAGUGGGGAAUAUUGGACAAUGGGCGCAAGCCUGAUCCAGCCAUACCGCGUGGGUGAAGAAGGCCUUCGGGUUGUAAAGCCCCUUUGUUUGGAAAGAAAAGCAGCAGGUUAAUACCCCGCUGUUCUGACGGUACCCAAAGAAUAAGCACCGGCUAACUUCGUG
rnacentral:rRNA from 1 species